rnacentral:lncRNA from 1 species
UUGGAAAAAAACUAAAGCAUCCAUGCUCAAAUAAAUAUCAAUUCAACUAACACCUCAACAACCUUGAAGGUAGAAGUCUUAACAGAUUUUAAAAUUUAACAAUAAGUAUAGACAAAUCAUUGAUGGCAAAAUGAACAAACACAACUUCAAGCAGAAAUCGAGACGAACUGAGGAAAGCAAAUAGACUCAAUGUUCAUGUGUAGUGCUUCAAAGCAAAUAUAAACCAAAGUAGUAAUCCCAAAUAAUUAAGCAAGGCAUAGAAAACGUGACAUUGCUCACUUAACAUUUGUCAAACAAUCCAGUCUUAUAAAUAUUUCAAAGUGAAUUAACCAUUGCACUUAUCAUACUCGGAUCAUCACCAACAGCAAAUUAUAGAAGAGAAAAAGAUGGACCUGAACGCGAAGCUUUGAUUAGUUUGUUUGGAAUCAAAUAAAAAUAAAUCCGGUCGUGAAAUCUGAAGUAAAUAGCAACCACAAUGCAACAAAAAACUUAAAAAAUGGACCAUGAUCGGAACUUUUGAAACUCGACGACCUCGACUUGAUUUGGCAACUUUAGCGGUGGUGUUUGGAGGUGGAAGGCUGCUGAAAUUUCAUGUGUUUGGCUGGUUGUUUGGAGCUAAUUUUCAGCUGGUCUGUGGCUCGUAUUGGGUGGUAUUUCGCUGGUGUUUGUACAGUUGAAGCAGUAGCGAUGAACUAGUGGAGCUAUAGCUGCUUUGGGGUGGCUUUGGGGCUGGAUUUUAGUCCCUUUUUAGCUCAUUUUGGGCUGAUUCGCAGCUAAUUUCAGCUGUUUUACAGCUAGUUUUGGCUGAUUUUCAUGGCUUCUCAAAGCUAGUUUCAAUGGAGUUUCGAAGCAAGUUUUCAACGGAAUUCACAUGGAGCUCUUGAAGUUGAUUUUUUAGGAGGAGGAAGAAGAAGUUUUGCCUCCCAUCUUAUUGUUUUCCCUCCGAUCCCAGGUCUCUGUUUUUUCCCGUCCCUCUCUCUAUCGUAUGUUUGUAUGUGUGUGUUAUCACUCUUUUUCGAUUUUUCUUCCUUAAGUAGCUGCACAGCUUUUUCCCUCUUUUGCCUUAGGGUUUCUUCAAAGAAAAGAUCUGUUAAGUAAGUGAAGAGAGGGAUAUUAGGCCAGGCGGGUCGGGCAUAUGGGGACUAGGCUGGUGCAACAUUUUGGGCCACUAAAACUGGGCAAUUUGGAACAAGAAACAACAGACCCUAUUCCUCUUUUAUUUGAUCUUUCAAAAAUAGGCACAUUACUUCUAAUUGAAUUUAUUUUGCCAAAACGACCUAAUUAGCAUUUUAACUAAUUAAUUAAACUAAUUGAUUAAAGCUAAUGUAUAUUUUUUGUGAUUUUUGUUUUAAUCAUCCUUUUAACCUAUGAUUAAUUUUUAAAUGCAAUUAACACACUAAAUGAAAAGGAAAAAAUAUUUUUGAUGAUUUUUAUAAUUUAAAAAAUUUCUAAAUAUGCAUGAACAAUGUAAAUAAAUGCAAAACAAAUAAAAGAAAAGUUCCUAAAAUGCUAUAAAAGCAAUUAAAAAUAUUUUGGACUAUUUUUUAGGAGCAAAUUUCUAUGUGUGGAAAAUAUUAGGUGCUCACAGCUGCCCCUCUUUGUUUGAAAACAUGAAGAGUUUUCAGGCAAAGACAAAGUGAGCCGUAUGACUAAUUUUUGACCAUGCCAUUAUUCAAAGAAAAGAGAAGAUAGUGCAACCGACUUCUGGUUUUGGACAGCCUACAUAUCCCGGGUUAUAAGGGAAUCAGGUCGCGUGUAGUUCAAAAAAUUUUGGUAGAAUGAUGAUUUCGAGAGUCGAGUGAGGUUCCAUCGAGGCUCCAGUUUGUGGUCCUGUUAUUACAUCAAAAUCAAAAUUAAAAGACUAAAUAAACCUAUCAGCUACGAGUUACAAGAUUCCUAUCUAUGAGUCUUCUGAAGCUUGAUCUUGAGUCUUGGUUGGUUCUUCAUAUGGACUCUGAUCUGACUCUUGAUGCUUGUUAGCUGCAGGUGCUGGUUCAUUCCUUUUUCAACUUUUCGGAUCAAGGCAGGAUAUGCAAAGAUUGUGACUUCAAUCACGUCUUGAGCAAUCCACAUCUUUUCUCCAUUUCUGCACUUUGAGUUCACUUCUUUUUCUUUUAUUCUGGAUUGAGACUCUUUCUUUUGAUCGUCUCGAACCCUGUGCCUCGAGGUAGAACCUGCUCAGACACCAAAACAAACAAACGAACGGAAUUUUUCUGCCCCAAUUUUCACUAGAAAUAUUUUGUGAGUUAUUUGUAACGAAAACUCUAUACUAUUUCGUUAUUGAAAGCAAUAAAAGUCAGGACUGUGUAUCCUUGAAAAAAGAGAUUAGGGAGUGGAGAUUCUAUAUUUUUAAAAAAAAGGAAAUCCAUUAGGGAUUGGAGACCCUAUGUUGGAAAAUCAUCAACUAGGGAGUGAUGACCUUAUAUGCUGGCAUCAAUUAGGGAGUGGUGGCCCUAUGUUGGCAUCAGCUUAUGUUGGCAUCAACUAGGGAAUGAAGACCCUAUGUUGGCAUCAACUAGGGAGUGAAGACCCUAUGUCUAAAAUAAACUAAGAUGUUUAUUUUUUGGUUUUUCUCUUUUUUUUUAUUGAGAAAAAUAAUUUUCCUUGAUUUUUUUGGUUGAGAAAAUCAUUCUUUUAAAAAAAUCGCCCGACUCUUACUUUCUGAGGGCAUGAACAUAUGAAUUUUUUUUCUUUUUUUUUAAAAUCCAGAAUUUUUUUAAUUAUACUCGGAGAAAAUUCAUCAGACUAGGUUUUCUUAUCUUAGGAGAAAAAUUCGUCAUACUAAGACUUUGAUCCUAGGGAAAAAUUCAUCAGACUAGGUUUUUUUUGGUUAUCUUAGGAGAAAGAUUCAUCAAACUAAGAUGUUUCUACUAGGAGAAAGAUUCAUCAAACUAGGUUUCUUAUCUUAGGAGAAAGAUUCAUCAGCUAAGAUGUUUAUCCUAGGAGAAAGAUUUAUCAGACUAGGUUUCUUAUCUUAGGAGAAAGAUUCAUCAGACUAAGAUUUCGAUCCUAGGAGAAAGAUUCAUCAGACCAGGUAUUUUUUUUUGUUAUCUUAGGAAAAAGAUUCGUCAGACUAAGACGUUUAUCCUAGGAGAAAGAUUUAUUAGACUAGGUUUCUUAUCUUAGAAGAAAGAUUCAUUAGACUAAGAUUUCGAUCCUAGGAGAAAGAUUCAUCAGGUUAGGAUUUUUUUUGUUAUCUUAGGAGAAAGAUUCAUCAGACUACGACGUUUAUCCAAGGUGAAAAUUCAUCAGACUAGGUUUCUUUUUCUUUUUUUGCAUCUUAGGAGAAAGAUUCAUCAGGCUAGGUCUUCUAUCUUAGGAGAAAGAUUCAUUAGACUAAGAUUUCGAUCAUAGGAGAAAAUUCAUCAGACUAGGUCCCUUUUUUUGUUAUCUUAGGAGAAAGAUUCAUCAGACUAAGAUUUCUAUCCUAGGAGGAAGUUCAUCAGACUAGGUCUUCUACCUUAGGAGAAAAAUUCAUCAGACUAAGAUGUUUAUACUAGGAGAAAGAUUCAUCAGACUAGGUUUCUUAUCUUAGGAGGAAAAAUGUGAGGAGUAAUGAUAAGAUUUUAUGCACUCUAGCAAGACAAAAUAAAGUCAAAAAUUUGAGAGACUUCCCUUUGUCGGCUCUUUCCUUCUCUUUUUUUUUUCUCUUUUUUUCACUUUUUUUCUUUUUUUUGAGCCACUUUACUUGUACUUCUUUGUUCCUAUUUCAACCAAAGAAAACUUUAUCAGUUUUGAAAGUGGUCGUCGGUUUGUGGCCUUGAUGUCUUUGGCAGCUUGGCUUUGUGAUCAUCCAUCCUUUGGAAGACCAACUGUAUUGGUAGUUGGUCACACGGCUGGGAGACUCUGUUGCUGCUUUCAAGAGACUUUUACUCCAUAUCAACCAUGAAUAUUUCACUCCGACUACCAGUUAUAUUUGUGGCUCAGUCAACCUUAUCUCCAAAAAGAGAUUUCUUUUCUUGGACAACUUUUUCUGAUAUCUUGAAUGGCUUUGCUUUUGGAGCAAUUUGUCUAUCAGAGAGAAUCACAAAUAGUAAGAGCCUUUAGCAUGAUGUGCACACUUCAUAGUCUCUAUUCAGUACCACAGAGAGUACCUGAUUAAUUAUCUUUGCUUGCUUUAACCAAAUAGGCUGACAAGAGUCUUUGGAAAGCCUUUCCAUGAAUGCAUGUUGACUAUAAAAACUGAGUGUUCUGGCCAAAUUUACUUUGUGCAACUGAAAAGCUGGUAACAGAUUUUGAAAUCUUUUCUUGCUUGUUUUGACAAGGAAUGACUCAGAGUGAAGGACACAAUGAUGCGAAAAAACAAUAUUAACAAGAAAUUCCCCGUUCAGGAAGGACGGAAGGAAGAGUUUUUUUUGCGGUAACUAGCCUUAAUGAUCAUGACAUGAAUUUUGGACUUAACGGCCUGAUCUAUCAAACUGAACCAAUUUUCUCUUUUACCAUUCUUAUGACCUUUGAAGUCAGGCUUGUUCGUGCCAAUAUUUUGCAUCAACUCCAUGACUCACUUUCGACAAGUGGUUCCACGAGGGAUUUUCACCAACAAGUCUCUCUCAUUUGUUCAUCUCUUCUUACCGUCGCCUUACAGUGCCCAUGAGGGUUUUCACUAGUAAGACUCUCUCAAUUUUCUUUUUUUUUCUUUUUCUUUUGCUUAAGACUCUCUCAAUUUUUUUUCUUUUUCUUUUGCUUCUCGUGUGAGCAACUUGAUAGUGUUUUAUGUUGUGUGACAACCGUUGCUCAUUGUGUACUUCUCUUGCAUUCUUGAAGGCAUAUCGGGAGGUCUUUAUUUUGAAGGUUUUUGGAUAGGGUUGGAAAGAAAGGUCGGUAUGAAGGCUCAAAGUAGACUCAAAAUUAGGGAGUGUAGACUUACAACUCUUGGAAUCGACUCUUUCAAAAAAAGAAAUAAAAUCUUUUCCCCAGUUUCAGAUACCGGGGAUUAUUGGAUUUUUUAUUUUUUUCCUUUUUCUUUUUCUUCUAAAUUCUUAUUUGGUUGGACCGAACCGUGUAAGGCUACCUACGUAUCCUUUUUUUGAAUGAAUCAGGUUGAACAUAGUUCAAACAUCUGACCUAACUAUAUUUUUUUUCGUUUUUCUUCUUUUCCUUUGUCUUUCUUUUUUUUCUUCAUUUUUUCCCCUUUUUUCUUUUUCAAAACAAAUUGCCCCGACUUCUAUUUUUUGGGGCAUGGACAUUUGACUGUUCUUUCUUUUUCUUCUUCUUCUUCUUUUAUUUAUUAAUUGAACUUUUUCAGAGUUGCCCCAGUUUGUACUAUUGGAGCAUGGACUUUUUUUUUGGACUUUGGACUAUAAACUUGAUUCCAAAAGAGGGUGGUUAAAAAAAUAACGCUGGCUCAAAAUGGGUAACAAAGGGUAUAAAGUGUUUGGGAUAGCAAAAAAAGGGCCUCCCAGCCUUGAGAACGCCAAACUUAGUAUCCUUUCGUGAUCACAGCAUUGAUGAACAUGUAUGACUUCUUGGUGUGUCGUUGUCACAAGACACUUUCCAUCCCUUAAUGUCAAACUUUCUAGCAAACUUCAAUUGAUUCUUCCUCAACCCGAUCUUCACAAUGAUUUUGAAGGUAAAGAUUCUUAACCUCCACGGGUAUGACUAUUCUAGUUCCACUUGAAUUUUACUCAGGUUUAAUUCUAAGGUAAUUCAACUCUUUUGCAUCCUCAAAAGUGUCUUUUAUCAGUUGUCCAAUUCAAGCUUAAAUCAAUUUUCUAAGAUCUGGCCAAAAAGUCCGCAUGCAUGUCAUAUUACUAAAACAAGCGGGAAAAGAACUAAGCAUGGAAUGACACAAAAGGAAAACACUAUUUAAUUGAGUAAGCAACAAGACCAACAACCUAAAAUCCGAGUUUCAACCCUAAAAUAACCCGGAUAAUGAAAAUAAUAACAAAAUAGAUAAACAAGACUCACACAAACUCCAAAAUGGUCCGAUUGACCACCCGAAACUCACCCGAGGCCUCCGGGACCUCAACCAAAGUCACCAACACAUCCUAAAACCUUGUUCAAACUUUUUCCAAUCAUCAAAACACCUCAAAAAUACCAAAUCCACCAAUUCACAUCGAAUUCAAGCCUAAGUUUUCUAAAACUUCCGAAAUACGCUUUCGAUCAAAAACCUAACCAAACCACCUCCGAAUGACCUGAAAUUUUGCACACAUAUCACAAAUGACAUAACAAAGCUACAACAACUCUCGGAAUUCUAUUCCGACCCUCGGAUCAAAAUCUCGCUUAUCAACCUGAAAUCGCCAAAAUACUAACUUCGCCAAUUCAAGCCUAAUUCUACACCGGACCUCCAAAACCAAUUACGAUCACACUCCUAAGUCAUAAAUCACCCAGCGAAGCUAACCAAAUUAUGAAAAUUCCAUUCUGAGCUCAUAUACAAAUAAGUCAACUCUUGGUGAAACCUUUCAAAUUCAAAGCUUUCAUUUGAGACUGUUCUUUCAAAUUCAUUCCGAUUUUCCUGAAAACCAAAACCAACGAUCUACAUUAGUCAUAAUACAUCACACGGGGCAAGUCAUGCCCGAGAACUGGCGAUCAAAGUGCAAAAGCUCAAAACGACCGGUUGAGUCAUUACAUCCUCCCCCACUUAAACACACAUUCGUCCUCGAACGUGCCUAGAGUUGUUUUAGAAGCCAACCAAUAGCUGAAUAACUUUACCAUGAAUAUACCCGAGGGUGAUCCAACGUCACCCUAUCUCAUAUAGGUCCGAUAACACAUUGACACUGAAAUUACACAACCCCAUCUAGCCCAUAAACCAUAGAAUCACAUUUUCACUUCUGAAACCAUCAAUACAUCAAAACCUCACAUCUAUACCCUGAAUAGGCCCGAACCAAUUGUAAUGACCCAUGCCUGCAACCUCAGGUGCAAUUAUCUGAUAUACCACAUAACUCAAACACAUGUAGCGAUAACUUCCAUUCACAUCAGCUGCACACAAUGCCCGAAUACCGGUAGAAAACCUCUUAUCGACUAAAGUUUUAUUCCAACACUUUUAUAUGUACUGCAAAUGAUAACUAAAACACGCAGUGAGCCAUAACCAUUUCUUAGAUCAACCUUUCAUGAAUCCACUUCUCCUUUGGCAAAUACCAUAGCAUAUUUCCGAGUCGAACCUCGAUAUUAUCCUUCCAACAAGCUGAAAUCAGAUACGACCGUAUUCAUUAAUGAUCCCAACGAUCUUCUCUAAUCCAACACACCACGCGGUGACAUGACACAUCAAUAGAGGCCUAAGCCACAAUUAGCAUAAUACGCGCACCAAUAAGCAACUGUCCGAAUAUACUCAAUUCAUAAAAAUAACCCAAAUGAAAGAGCUGUCCCUCAAGAUCACCAGUACCAUCACAACACAAGGCUGAGAACCCGUCUCUCAUCAUAGAAAUAGAACACAUGAAUCUAACCCGCAUGAUCAUAUCUCCACAUAGCUUCGCUGAAAUGUGCGAUCUUAACAAACACCGCUCCACAUGAAACACCUGAAGUUACUACGCUCGAAAGCGACCACCACGCACAACUUGAUGCCUGGAACCAAAGCACAUCAUCAUACCCAUGGUGAAACAAAUAACAUACACCACACAAACCCGAUAGGACAUAACCGAUACGCCAUUCACGGAGCAACACCCAAUUACUCUUCUCGCUCGACUAUGAACCCCAAUAGAACCACACCAUAUGUGCCCAUAACCAACUAACCAUAACGUCUUGCAACACAGAAAGGCAACUCAUAGAUCUCCCUGGAUCACCAAUAGACUCAAUAACAGUCGAAUCAACAAAUCCCUCAACAAUGCAAUUCGGAGCCAACCAAGCUGACUCAAGUUAGAACACGCAUCCAGAUCGGCCCAUCAAUGAACUCUUUAUCAAGGAAAUCCUGAAGUUGUUCCUUCCACUACUAUAACUCCUGCCGGUGCCAUACGACACGGUGCCCGACACCAAAUCAAUACUGAAAUCCGCAACCUCGCCCGGUGACAUGCCCAGCCACAAGAAACACAUCCAAAAAGUCCCUCACCACCGGAACUGAAUCAACAUAAGGAGCCUCAGCACUGACACUCGUCACUAGAGCCCAAAUAAGAAAGACAAAUCCUUCCCAGCCAUCCGCUGGAUCUUCGGCAUGUAAAAAAAAAUUCCUCUAAUGGGACAUAAUCUGCCGAACAUCACCACUCAAUCCGUAGCAUUUUCCGGACAUAGUCAACAACGCCGCCUUAUCACAAUAGUCCAGAAUGACACAACACGGAGACAACUAGUCUGAACCCAAUAUCACUUCUAAAUCUAACAUACCAAGCAACAAAAGAUCCGCUCGGGUCUCUAAACCCUGAUAGUAACUACAUAGUGCCGACACACACGAUUCACGACUGCAACAUAGCCUGAACAUGAGGACUCCCAGUCUCCAACUCCAUAUAGCACACGAAUCAUCAUACCUGAUCCCAAUUCCGCUGUUCGAACACAUACCACACGUCAAAUACCAAAUCACCACGGGAGAUAUUCAAAUAUUCCCCUAUGCCUCCAAGCAAACUCGAAUGUCAGCAGCCAAUCUUGCCAGAAAGUGCCGCAAUACUACCGAAGGGCCAUCAACUUAAUCACAUUGCCUUUCCUGAAAUAUAUAUUCUCGUCAAAUCACUUCUGAUUGGCAAUACCAUUUCCUUAAUCAUCGGAGGCUACCCGCUGCCUAAGAAUUUCAUGAACUUCCUUUCAGAACUGAACUGUAACCUUACAUACGCAAAUCUCAGUCCGCACAACAUACCGUAUAUACCAUACCAUCAGAGGAUAACAUGAGAACUUCAUCUCCCUUCCGAGCCACAGAUAUCUACGCACUUAACUAGUCAAGAACUUUCCAUCGGUCCUAUCUAGAAGAAAAAUCAUUACACAUCCCCUGCUCCGCAUGCCCAUAGAAAAUAUACAUCUCCAAACCGCGGUAAAACCAUCAAGAACUCUCUGAGUCCCCUUUGCACAAAUCAGACCUGCCAGGACUAAAUCCUUCUAACUCGACCAAGCUAAGCAAGCCAUCAAAACUUAAGAGCAUCGCUACAAAAUACCCGCAAGAACCCAUUACCUCGAACACACACACAGAAUUAAUCAUAUCCUUACCAUACCAGUCCGGUCUACUAUCAAGCUACUCCAUCUAUCGAAAUUUCCUUCUGAUUCAUCUUCAACUAGAUAUUCCCUCUUGUUGUAUCACCACAAUGCCUCAACCCAGGCUUACCACACAAGACCCAAGCAUAAAACCACACUGUCUAAGACCCAUAAGCCGCUGAAUACUCUCUCAAAUACUCCCAGAAACACCACAUCCCAAAAUAUUUUACUUUGAAGAGCUUCUUGCGAAUCUAACUCGGUUACCUUUACUUUCCUGAUACUGAUACAUAGAAUCCCAUAAGUAACAUAGAAACACCACAAGUCUUGACCUCUUCCAAUGAAAACUCAGUUUCUAACCGCAUAUACAACUCUAAAAUACCCGAUUGCUCCCUGUAGAAUCUUGAACACAUUUGAACCAUUCUCGAGAGUCAUUCACUCUUAUUCAAACUACAGUUUACUUGACCCAACGAACAGAACCACCCGUGCCUCAUUGGCACUCCAACACCGUAGAAUAAAGUCCCCAUCCCAUACAACCAAGCAAUUUCCUGCUCUAUGCACCGAGCAUUCUUUACUAACCACAACUUAAGACAUCCCGUGGUUUUCUUACCCUAUGAAGCAUAAUAUAACCUUUGUAAAAAAAUUUCCUUUACUCGAUCCAUCCUCGGUCUCAAUUUCCGCAAGCCAUAACGGAUUCACCCGCACGCCUCACACUGGAACCAACAUAGCACCUAACCAUGCUAUCAACCACUCACAACAAACUCCCCUACUUGGCUCGAAGACAUGGAUUAAAAUACACUUAAUAACUCAUAACACUUAUACUAUAUUGAUGCCACAAUACCAUAGUGAGAUUAAACUCAGAUCCUUUGCAAGCUUGUGAAAACACAAAUCAUCUAGUACUUCAUAUCUUCGGCAAAUCUCGCACUCAUUCUCGCAACAAUUAAGCCCCCUCUCUCAAGCAACCCAAAAUUCAAAUUUCAACACUUAUAUUCCACUUGCAGAUGAGAUCUUCUAACAGUCACAUAAGGGUCACACAACCCCAAAAUUCUUCACAGGAGAUAACCCACCUGCUUUACCUUCAAUUAACAUUUCUAUAUACCUUCCACCAUCACAAACCAUAUGCAGUUACUUAGUUUUCUUGAGUCUGAACUCAUACCGCAAAAUGAAAUCUACUUCACUCUCAACUAGGAAACAUUGAAUGAUCCUUCAUAUGCCCAUAACUCGGGGCUAUACCUCGAAUCAAGAUGAAAAUCAAGCACCUAAUAGUUUUUCUAUCCUCCAGCAGACCUUCCUCAUCACUUCCAAGUCAUAUAGAUACAUCUCGCAGUACUAACAUACUCAUUACAUAGUUAUCCAACCAUCACUCCUACUAAUAGGGACGAUACCGAACAUAUAAGUUCAAAACACUUGCUCACACAAUCAGCACCUCGGUGCUCAAGCCAUAGACAAAGAUCCAACCUCAAGUCCCCCAAACUGGCCUCACAUCAAACUCACAGAGAUCACAUCUCGCCCCUCGAUCAGGGGAUCACAAGCCAUCAAGGCACAUCUUAUACUGAGGGUUCAUGCGCGCAUGCGAACACGUGGAAGGAAUUUCAAGAGGUACUUUUAAAGCUGAAUCAAGGACGCAUGAUAAGAAUUCAAGAAUGUGAUAUUUUCCCAAAGGUUCUACAGCCUCUCGAGGAUAAAUACAGACGUCUCAGUUACGAUCCGCGAAACUCUACUAAACCUGCUCAUGACUCGUGAGACCUAUGUAACCUAGGCUCUGAUACCAACUUGUCACGACCCUAACCCCGAACCCGGUCGUGAUGGCGCCUCUCGUGAAGACAAGGCUAGCCAGACCAAAAUAGAACACCUCAUUUAAACAGUUAAAUACCAUAAAUAGUUCUAAAACAUGAUAUAAUAACCAUAAUUUGUGGAAAUAACGAUAACAACAGUAGAAACUAUCCUGACAUAGCCCUAACUGGGGUGUCACAAGUCACGAGCAUCUAUUAGAGUAUAAAUACAACUACAAGGUCUGAAAUAUACAAAAACAGGACUGAUGAGCAAAAAGGGAGAGAAGAUGGUGCUGCGAACGCUGGCAGCCACCUUGCUAAACUCCGAUAACUCUGCCACCGAUUAGCCAAAACCCAUUACUGGGUGUAUAAAUACCUGCAUCUGCACACAAGGUGAAGGGAGUAAAGUGAGUACUCCAACUCAGUGAGUAAUAAAGGUAAAUAAUCACAAGCCGUGGCGUAUAAAAGUAAAAUCUUAGCUGAGUUUAAAACCUCUUUCGAAAAUGAUGUGAGGCCGAGGGCCUGAGAUACUUUUAUACGCCACAAGCUGUGAAAUCUUUAGAAACAUCUUAGUUGAGUUUAAAACCUCUUUCGAAAAUGACUUUUUCAACAGUUACGCAAAUAAAUGCAAAACAGUUAGUGCCGAUAAGCACAUAACAUCCGCCCCUCGGGCACAAAUACCACAGUAUAACAAGUAAAAUGCCAAGUAAAUAUGAAAGAUGAACACAUAAAGGUUUGCCCCUCGGGCAAUCUCUCUGAACAGUACCAGCCCCACGGGCUCACUCUCAGAAUAAUAUCAGCCCUUCGGGCUCACUCUUAGAACAAUAUCAGCCCCUUGGGCUCACUCUCAGAUCAUGAUGGGUACCCGCGCUCAUUGUGGGUGUGCAUACUCCGGAGGAGCCCCUUACGACCCAAACGCUAUAUCAAGCCACCUCGUGGCAUCAUCUCUCGUCACUUGGCCUCAUAUCACUCGGCACUCGACCUCACAUCACUCAAGCCACCUCGUGGCGUAUAAAAGUAUCUCAGGCCCUCGGCCUCAUAUCACUCAGCAUAUCCUCACAUAUGGCCCUCGACCUCACUCAGUUGGAAAAUCAUCACAAGCCCCUCGGGCAUUAGUAAAUCAGUAGUUCUCAGCCCAAAACAUCUUUUAGAAAUAUCAUUUAAGUUUCAAAUAUGAGUAAAAAUGGCUGAGUUUGUAAAACAGUAAAUAUCAAUAGGACUGAGUUCAAGUGAUAAAUCAAUACAAUGAGGAAAUAGUGAUAAAAAUCCCCGGAGGGUUCAAAUAGUUGGCACGAAGCCCAAAUCAGACCCAAAUUAUGAUGAUAACAAACAAGUUUCAGUCAAAUACGCGGUAAAUUCAUCAAUCGAGAUGGACCAAGUCACAAUCCCCAAUAGCAAACGACCCUACGCUCAUUAUCAAGAGCGUGUCUCACCUCAAUAUAGCACUACGAUGUACAAUCCGGGGUUUCAAACCCUCAGGACAUCAUUUGAAAUCAUUACUCACCUCGAAUCGGCUACAACUCUAGCUCGCGACGCCUUUGCCCCUCGAAUUGGCCUCCACGCGCGUCGAGUCUAACCAAAAGCAGAACGAAUACGUCACAAUAUGCUAAGGGAACAAGCCUAAGUGAAAACAAUAAAAAAUCCCGAAAUUAGCAAAACCCGAGCCCCGGACCCACUUCUCGAAACUCAGAAAUUUUCACAUCAUUAGAUUCCUUAUCGCUCCACGAGUUCAUACAUACCAAAAGUUCUCAAUUCUGACCUCAAAUGGUCCUUCAAAUCCCAAUUCAAAAGUUCAAAAUCCCAAGCCCUAGUUCUUCCAUUUUUAGCUUAAAUUCCAUGAAUUUCUAGGUUAAUUUCACAAUAGAAUCACGUUUUAGGUUCAAAAAUAUUACCUCCAAUCAAUUCUCCUUGAAUUUCCUCUUCAAUCACCUUCAAAAUGCUCUCAAAAUACUCAGCUAUAGAGGAAAAAUGGCUCAAAAUCGCGGAUAAAAUGUCUUAUAAACUUUCUGCUCAGUUCUGAUAUUCCUUCUUCGCGAACGCGGUUAAACACUCGCGUUCGCGAUGCACAAAUUUAACUUGACCAGAUUUCCCUCUACGCGAUCGCGACCAAGGGAUCGCGAACGCGAUGCUUUAGACUCCUCAACCUACGCGAACGCGAAGAGCAACAGCUCCUGGACCUUUCAUGCGCCAACUCAACUAUGCGAAUGCGACCUACCCUCACGCCAACACGAAGCACCAGUCUCCCACCUUCCGCGAACACGAGGCCUCAAAUGCGAACGCGAAGGACAAACGCAAACCACCCCAAAAUCCUUCUAUGCGAUCGCGACUCGCCCCACGCGAUCGCGAAGGCCAAUUUCGUCUGCAACAGCUGAACAGUUUCUGCAAUGAUCCAACACCAUAACUACCCCGAUUGGCUACCCAAAACUCACCUGAGGCCCCCGGGACCUCAACAAAAAGCACUGACACAUCCUAAAACCUCAUUAAAACUUGAUCCAAUCAUCAAAACACCUCAAACAACACCAAAUUCAUCAAUUCACAUCGAAUUCAAGCCUAAGUUUUCUAAAAACUUCUGAAAUACGCUUUCGAUCAAAACUCCAACCAAAUCAUGUCCCAAUGACCUGAAAUUUAGCACACAUAUCACAAAUGACAUAACAAAGCUACAACAACUCUCAAAAUUCUAUUCCGACCCUCGGAUCAAAAUCUUGCCUAUCAACCGAAAAUCGCCAAAAUACUAACUUCGCCAAUUCAAGCCUAAUUCUACACUGGACCUCCAAAACCCAAUCUGAUCACACUCCUAAGUCACAAAUCACCUCCCAAAGCUAACCAAACCAUUGGAACUCACUUCUGAUCCCUUUAAUACAAUAGUCAACAUCCGAUUGACUUUUCCAAAUCAAACCUUCUUAAAAGAGACUAAGUGUCUCAUUACUUACCAAAUCCUCUCCGAACACAGACUAAUCAACUUGAUCACAUAAAACACGGAUAACGAAACAUGAAGAAGCAAAAGUGGGGGAAAAUGGAGCGGUAAUUCAUGAGACGACUGGCCGAGUCGUCACACAAACAGAAUAGAGAGAUAGAAGGGUUUGACUAAAUAAAAUAAAUAAAAUCUGGAUGACAUCCUUGAAAUAACCCAGAUAAUAGAAAAAAUAUCAAAACAAGCUACCAAGAUUCCUUCCUAGUGAGGAGGGAAUGACUUUUCAAUUGUUAAGCUUAACAUUUAGCCAUAAAUUUGCUCAUCAGAAUCAACAGAGCCUUCUCAAAUUUCAAAAUUAUUAACUUCAGUCAGCAAGUUCUCGAGAGGAUUCUCAUACUCCCUAUCACCACACAUCAUCCCUACAAAGUGUGAAUCAUCAUGUGCAGGUAAAGGAUUCUACAUGAUAUUCUGGGUGUCACUGUCUUGGACACAAUCAAUUUUUCUAGGAUCAUCCUUUCUAUUGCUCUAUUCAAAUCCCGACAGCUUUCAACAUUAUGACCCUGGGCAUUAGAAUGGUAUUCACACCUUUUAUAAGGGUCAAAUCUUUUUUCACGUGGGUCCAUAUGAUUUGGAAGAAUAGGUAAAAUCAUGUCAUAAUGCUUUAAUUUCUCAAACAAGUUUGCAUAAGACUCUCUUAUUGGUGUAAAAUUAUCUUUCAACCUUUGUUCCUCUAUGUAUCCCUGGCUUGUAUGUGGGUUAUAGGGCACUUGAAAAUUUUGUAGAGGCUGGUGGAGAUUUUGUGAUGCUCUUGCUUGCCUUAUGAGGUGUUUUGGUGGCUGGACAAUGUACUGAGGUGGAGAAACAGAGUAUUGUGGGUUCUGAGGUGGAUAGUACUGCUCAGGGGAAUCAUCGCAAACCAAACGAAGCUGCUCAUACAUUCGAGAUGUUCUCCUAGGACCUCUUUGCGACCCUGAUGUAAUCAUGGUUUCUUCAUCCUUCUCAUUCGUAUCACUAAAAUUAUCAGAUUCAAUAUGGACAGGCUGAGUUGUGGCUUUAAGAACUGCUUGACUUGUAAUUUUGCCCGUCUUAAGGCCAUUUUCAAUCAUUUCCCCCAUUUUGAUUGCUUCCGAGAAGGAUUUACCUACUACGGACAUCAUGUUUUGAAAAUAAUCUGGCUCUUAAGCCUGAAUAAAGACUUUGAUUAGCUCGUGGUUGUCCAUGGAUGGCUUAAUUCUAGCUGCUUGCUCUCUCCAUUUAAUGGCAUAUUCCCUGAAAGUUUCAGUUGGUUUCUUCUUCAGGUUUGAAAGGGAAUUGCGGUCUGGGGCGAUGUCGAUGUUGUAUUGGAACUGUUUGACAAAGUCCUGUGCCAUGUCAUCCCAAACAUACCAGUAAGAUGUGUCUUGAUCCAUAAACCAUUCAGAGGCUACUCCCGUAAGGCUUUCCCCAAAAUAAGCUACCAGCAAUUAUUCACUUCUUCCUGCACCUCUUAGCUGAUUGCAAUACCUUUUCAGGUGGGCUAUUGAGUCUCCAUGCCCAUCAUCGGGGUACAUACAUAGAUCUUUGAAGGCAAUACUCUUCUGACUUGCCAACCCUUGCAUGUUUUUCAACUAUUGUUCUAAGCUUUUCACUCUUUAGGUCAUUUCUUCAUUUGCCAUCUUUCGGGUAGGUUUCUCAAUCUUUGCAGGAAGAUCAAAUAGGUACGGGUGGUACUCAGAAGAGUGGUACUGCUCUUGCUGGGUAGCAAAUUGUGACUCAUGAAUUUUCCUCUGCACCACCAUCGGUUGUAGAACGGUGAGGACGGGUAUAACAUCAGUGUUUGUCUGAUUGAUUGCCACUGGCACACUUUGGAAGCGCACAACAAAAGUUCCAACUGUAGCCGUACAGUUGGGAUAAAGACUGAACCUAGGUGGAUAGGAUUGAUCAGACAAUGAGAUCUUAGUGGUAGUAGUCGAGAUGGGUGUGAACUCUGAGAAACCAGGAAUAGAUAAAGGCGGUCCUUGUCCAUUGGCUCAUGCUUGACACAUUUUAGUCAUUUUUUCCUUCAAUACCCUAUUUUCCUCAACCAUAGUAGACUCUUGUUAAACCUUCUGACCUUGAGUCUCAUGACUGCUUGCAACAUCUUCGAUGUUAGUUGUCAUUUUUUUCCCUUUGAAUUUUGUGUUUCCAGCUUACCACAAACCGACCACCUCAAACUUUCUUCACAAUUCAAAACAAAAGACAUGUUAGAAUGGAUUCAGUCGGUCCUUAUUAUUAUCGUCAUUUUUUCAUUUUUUAUUUUUUUAAUGGUUGAUCAAACCUGAUGUGGGUUUCCUACAUAUCAUAUGGGAAUAUGAAUCAGAUCUUGCGUAGUUCCGGAAGAUCAUGAAUAAAAUAUAUAAACUAAAAUUUUUUCUUUUUUGAUUUUUUUCGAAAGAGAGACUUAUAAAGAAGCAAGAUGUUUUUUGAAUUUCGAAUUUUUCUUUUGGCAUUUCGAAUUUUUUUUUCCAAAGAAUAAAGAAAAUAUUUUCGUAUUUUUGGACUUUUAUGUUAAAAUCAUGAAAGAAAGACUUCUGUAGAAAAAAAAUAUUUUUUUUGAAUCUUGAAUUUUCUUUUCAAUUUUCGAAAAUAGGUUAUGGUAUUCUAGGGUUAAAAACUGGGUGUAUUUGUUCUAGACCUGGCUUACCCAAGCGAACAGCUCGAGCCGAGGGGAGGGGGGCAGCGUACCGUGAAUACUAGUGGUGUGCAUUCGACUUAUCGAUUCGAUUUUGACCCUUAUCGAUAAUUACUUAUCGAUUAUCGAUUUGUACAUAUGCUUAUCGUUUUCGUUUCAAUAAGGUUUCGAUUUUUUCAAUUUCAAUUUAUCGAUUUUUGGGGCUUAUCGAUUCGGUUAUCGUUUACACCAAUAAGAAGGAUUCCAAGGAAAGUAUAUUGCUAUAAACACGGCUAACUAAUAUGGACAAAAAGAAGCUAAAAUAAGACGAACACCAUUUAUAACAUAAAAAUUGUGUCAACAAGCACAUGCAAUGAAACUAAAGUAAGGGAUCAAAUGUAUGCCACCAACACUCCAAAGAUACAAAAAAAAUACAUCAUCACAGCUAAUUCUGUUUUCCAUUAAUUUGAACUUCAUUCCCUUGAGCUUUAAAUAUGAUCAUUCAUUCCUUAAAUGUGGUAGAGGAAAUAAUAAGGUUAGGGACUUAGGGUAAAUAAAAGGGUAUUAUAGAAUAAGGGUUAAAAUUUUUUUUGUUUUUGUCUUUAUUAGUAUUCUUAUCGAUUUAUCGAUAAACCGAUAACCGAAGAGGACAAAAUCGAAAUCAAUAACUAGAUAAGGAAAAUUUCGAAAUCGAUAAAUCGAUAAACCGAUAACAAAUAAUCGAUAAACCGAUUCGAAUGCACACCCCUAGGGAAUACAAAAGCUUCACCGGCUUUACAACUUGUGCGAACCUCGUUCUAAAAUUGGGAUAUGACUCUAACAGAAAAGAAGUUACACGAAGUGCACACUUCCUAGAUGAUUUAGAAGAAUCAAAGAGAAGAGGGUUUCGUAACAGUUUAUAUACAGUUCAAACAAUAUCAAAGCGGUAAAAAGCGACAUUUAGCACAUUAGUCUCAAACACGUAAAAAUCAGAUAAUAAAUAAAAGACAACUAUCACAAUUAUUCUAAGAUCGAAUUCUGAACCCUGAACCAGAAGUUCUAGAUUCUUAUCCCUAGUAGAGUCGCCAGAGCUGUCAUACCUCCUUUUUCCCGAGGAGGCAUAGGGAGUUUUUUCCAAUUAAAUUGACAUUAAUCGAAAUGAGAUUGUUUAUUUAAUUUCAGUUCAUGGUGUCCCAAGUCACUGAUUUAUUUAAAAUCUCAAAUCGAGGAAAUUGACUAUUUUUUGGUCCGCGAACACAAAAGACCGGGUAAGGAAUUCUGUUAACCCGAGAGAAAGUGUGAGGCACUCCCAAGUUUCGUGGUUUUAGCACAGUCGCUCAACUAUUAAUAAUUGGCCUAAUUAUCUGAUUAAUUACAUGUUUUAAACAUAUUGUGCAUUUUAACUUUAUAAUCGCUUUUAUUUAUUUAUGGAGUUAUUUCUGGAACAAGUCACGAUUGUCGUACACUUGUUGUUUUGGUACACAUUGCAAACUGCGCCAUAUGAAAUGCACCUGCGAUUCACGACAUGUUAACAUUUAUUAUUAUUCGAAGUUAUAGUCGGAUCACAUAAAAUGCACACCCGAAUUGGAAUUUACGUAUCAUGACUAUGCCACGGGAACCAUACUCAUGGCCACGAUAAUUUAUUAUUAAUCGCGCCUAAAACAAUUAGUGCAUUUGAAUUAUUUUUCUACUUUCUAAGUUUGUGGUUUGAGUUUCUCGUAAGAAAACCGGACAUAAACAAGAAACGUCAUCAUCUUGAAUUCUUGAUGGCUGGAAAUAAACUUGCAAGUAACUAUUCGCUACGAAACAUAAUUUUUCGAUGCAUUUAAGCAGAAAAGAAUGAUUUGUAAUAAAUCUAAACAUCUCUGAGUUCAAACAAAAAUAAGGAUGACAAAGCAACUAGACAACAACAACAAAUAGAUAGAUUACAAAAUUCAAAUAAAAAUUCUGAACCAGCGUCCAAAACUCAUAAAUUUCACUACCAAAUUAUCUUGCAAAAGUUAAAUAAGUUGGAAAAAAACUAAAAGAUCCAUUCUCAAAGAAAUAUCAAUUCAACUAACACCUCAACAACCUUGAAAGUAGAAGUCUUAACAGAUUCCAAAAUUUAACAAUAAGUAAAGACAAAUCAUUAACGGUAAAAUGAACAAAGAUAGCUUCAAGCAGAAAUCGAGACGAACUGAGGAAAGCAAAUAGACUCAAUGUUUAUGUGUAGUGCUUCAAAGCAAAUAUAAACCAAAGUAGUAAUCCCAAAUAAUUAAGCAAGGCACUAAAAAUGCGUCAUUGCUCACUUAGCAUUUGUCAAACAAUACAGUCUCAUAAAUAUUUCAAAGUGAAUUAACCAUGGCCCUUAUCAUACUCGGAUCAUCAACAAAAGAAAAUUAUAGAAGAGAAAGAGAUGGACUUGAACGCAGCAAAGCUUUGAUUAGAUUGUUUGGAAUCAAAUACAAAUGAAUCUGGCCGUCAAACCUGAAGUAAAUAGCAACCACAAUGCAACAGAAAACUCGAAAAAUGGACCAUGGCCGGAACUUUUGAAACUUGGUGACCUCGACUCGAUUCUGCAACUUUAGCAGUGGUGUUUGGAGGCGGAAGGCUGUUGAAAUUUCAUGUGUUUGGCUAGUUGUUUGGAGCUGAUUUUCAGCUGGUCUAUGGCUCGUUUUGGGUGGUGUUUCGCUGGUGUUUGUACAACUAAAGCAGUAGCGAUGAACUAGUGGAGCUAUAGUUUCUUCGGGGUGGUUUUGGGGCUGGAUUUUGGUCCCUUGUUUAGCUCAUUUUUGGUAUGAUUCGCAGUUAAUUUUAGCUGUUUACAGCAAGUUUUGGCUGAUUUUCAUGGCUGCUCAAAGCUAGUUUCAAUGGAGUUUCAAAGAAAGUUUUCAACGGAAUUCACUUGGAGCUCUUGAAGUUGGUUUUUUAGGAGGAAGAAGAAGAAGUUUUGCCUCCCAUCUUAUUGUUUUCCCCCGAUCCCAUGUCUCUUUUUUUUCGUCCCUCUCUCUAUCGUAUGUGUGUGUGUUAUCACUCUUUUUCGGUUUUUCUUCCUCAAGUUGCUGCGCAGCUUUUUCCCUCUUUUGCCUUAGGGUUUCUUCAAAAAAGAUCUGUUAAGUAAGUGAAGAGAGGGAAAUCGGGCCAGACGGGUCGGGCAGAUGGGGACUAGAUUGGUGCAAUUUUUUGGGCCACUGAAAC